UACAGAGGGGGCAAGCGUUAUUCGGAAUUAUUGGGCGUAAAGGGCGCGUAGGCGGUCGUGCAAGUGGAAGGUGAAAUCCCUCGGCUCAACCGAGGAACUGCCUUUCAAACUGCAUGACUUGAGUCCGGGAGAGGUGAGUGGAAUUCCCAGUGUAGCGGUGAAAUGCGUAGAUAUUGGGAGGAACACCAGUGGCGAAGGCGGCUCACUGGACCGGAACUGACGCUGAGGCGCGAAGGUCAGGGGAGCAAACGGG
rnacentral:rRNA from 1 species